rnacentral:ncRNA from 1 species
ACUUAUGUGAUGAACAAGAGAGUACCUUUUGGCUGGUGUCCCAGAGAGCGCAGGCAAGGUGGGAGCUGCGCACAGAAGCGAGAGGGAAGUUCACUUGGGAGCAUCCGUCCUGAACAGAGUAGGGAUGGCGCAGGCUGCGUUACGGCCGCAAUGAAGUACAAAUUAGGGUGGUACCGCGAACCUUCGCCCCUUUU